rnacentral:piRNA from 1 species
UUAAUGUGUGUGCUGAGGAUUUGAGC